GAUGAACGCUGGCGGCGUGCCUAAUACAUGCAAGUCGAGCGAACAGACGAGGAGCUUGCUCCUCUGACGUUAGCGGCGGACGGGUGAGUAACACGUGGAUAACCUACCUAUAAGACUGGGAUAACUUCGGGAAACCGGAGCUAAUACCGGAUAAUAUAUUGAACCGCAUGGUUCAAUAGUGAAAGACGGUUUUGCUGUCACUUAUAGAUGGAUCCGCGCCGCAUUAGCUAGUUGGUAAGGUAACGGCUUACCAAGGCAACGAUGCGUAGCCGACCUGAGAGGGUGAUCGGACACACUGGAACUGAGACACGGUCCAGACUCCUACGGGAGGCAGCAGUAGGGAAUCUUCCGCAAUGGGCGAAAGCCUGACGGAGCAACGCCGCGUGAGUGAUGAAGGUCUUCGGAUCGUAAAACUCUGUUAUUAGGGAAGAACAAAUGUGUAAGUAACUAUGCACGUAUUGACGGUACCUAAUCAGAAAGCCACGGCUAACUACGUG
rnacentral:rRNA from 1 species